rnacentral:sRNA from 1 species
GCCAGGUAUGGUAGUGCAUGCCUGUAAUCCCAGUGGCUGGGGAGGCUGAGGCAGGAGGAUCAUGAGUUCAAAGCCAGCCUCAG